UCACUUUUCGCAUCAUUGCAUAAAUAUCUAAUUAUAUGUAGAGAUACUUUCUUUUUUUCUUUUUUAUUUUUUUAUUUGGUGACAAGAAAUAUCAAAAACGAAAAGACCACUUUGAGAACAAUACAAAAGGAGCUCGAGCACAAAAGAAGAAGGAAAAACAAACUGCUUUGGUGUUUUCUUGUUGUUGUCUUUUCCGUGACAACCGAGGGAAAUGCCAGCUCGAUAGCUUUCCUAUA
rnacentral:lncRNA from 1 species